AUGAGCGUGUAGAAGGCAAGAUGUCGGCAUAGCUGAUGCUUUUGAAAUUUCGGCUGUGUCACAUCCAGCCAGCCAAACGC
rnacentral:pre_miRNA from 12 species